rfam:Leishmania major strain Friedlin complete genome, chromosome 35
AGCAGAAUUAAACACGGAUCUGUGGGACGUACUUCAGUGCUGGUGAGAUCCGCCUGUGUUUUGCAAG